rnacentral:rRNA from 1 species
AACGCGAAGAACCUUACCAACCCUUGACAUGCCUGGACAAUCCGAGAGAUCGGACUUUCCUUCGGGACCAGUGCACAGGUGCUGCAUGGCUGUCGUCAGCUCGUGUCGUGAGAUGUUCGGUUAAGUCCGGCAACGAGCGCAACCCACAUCUUUAGUUGCCAGCAGGUUAAGCUGGGCACUCUAGAGAAACUGCCCGUGAUAAGCGGGAGGAAGGUGUGGAUGACGUCAAGUCCUCAUGGCCCUUACGGGUUGGGCUACACACGUGCUACAAUGGCAGUGACAAUGGGUUAAUCCCAAAAAGCUGUCUCAGUUCGGAUUGGGGUCUGCAACUCGAGUGCAUGCAAGCUGGAAUUACUAGUAAUCGUGGAUCAGCGUGCCACGGUGAAUGCGUUCCCGGGUCUUGUACACACCGAAU